rnacentral:rRNA from 1 species
GACGAACGCUUUCGGGCGUGCUUAACACAUGCAAGUCGAACGGAAAGGCCCUGCUUUUGUGGGGUGCUCGAGUGGCGAACGGGUGAGUAACACGUGAGUAACCUGCCCUUGACUUUGGGAUAACUUCAGGAAACUGGGGCUAAUACCGGAUAGGAGCUCCUGCUGCAUGGUGGGGGUUGGAAAGUUUCGGCGGUUGGGGAUGGACUCGCGGCUUAUCAGCUUGUUGGUGGGGUAGUGGCUUACCAAGGCUUUGACGGGUAGCCGGCCUGAGAGGGUGACCGGCCACAUUGGGACUGAGAUACGGCCCAGACUCCUACGGGAGGCAGCAGUGGGGAAUAUUGCACAAUGGGCGGAAGCCUGAUGCAGCAACGCCGCGUGCGGGAUGACGGCCUUCGGGUUGUAAACCGCUUUCGCCUGUGACGAAGCGUGAGUGACGGUAAUGGGUAAAGAAGCACCGGCUAACUACGUGCCAGCAGCCGCGGUGAUACGUAGGGUGCGAGCGUUGUCCGGAUUUAUUGGGCGUAAAGGGCUCGUAGGUGGUUGAUCGCGUCGGAAGUGUAAUCUUGGGGCUUAACCCUGAGCGUGCUUUCGAUACGGGUUGACUUGAGGAAGGUAGGGGAGAAUGGAAUUCCUGGUGGAGCGGUGGAAUGCGCAGAUAUCAGGAGGAACACCAGUGGCGAAGGCGGUUCUCUGGGCCUUUCCUGACGCUGAGGAGCGAAAGCGUGGGGAGCGAACAGGCUUAGAUACCCUGGUAGUCCACGCUGUAAACGGUGGGUACUAGGUGUGGGGUCCAUUCCACGGGUUCCGUGCCGUAGCUAACGCUUUAAGUACCCCGCCUGGGGAGUACGGCCGCAAGGCUAAAACUCAAAGGAAUUGACGGGGCCCCGCACAAGCGGCGGAGCAUGCGGAUUAAUUCGAUGCAACGCGUAGAACCUUACCUGGGUUUGACAUGGAUCGGGAGUGCUCAGAGAUGGGUGUGCCUCUUUUGGGGUCGGUUCACAGGUGGUGCAUGGCUGUCGUCAGCUCGUGUCGUGAGAUGUUGGGUUAAGUCCCGCAACGAGCGCAACCCUUGUUCACUGUUGCCAGCACGUUAUGGUGGGGACUCAGUGGAGACCGCCGGGGUCAACUCGGAGGAAGGUGGGGAUGACGUCAAGUCAUCAUGCCCCUUAUGUCCAGGGCUUCACGCAUGCUACAAUGGCUGGUACAGAGAGUGGCGAGCCUGUGAGGGUGAGCGAAUCUCGGAAAGUCGGUCUCAGUUCGGAUUGGGGUCUGCAACUCGACCUCAUGAAGUCGGAGUCGCUAGUAAUCGCAAAUCAGCAACGCUGCGGUGAAUACGUUCCCGGGGC